AAAACUUUCAACAACGGAUCUCUUGGCUCUCGCAUCGAUGAAGAACGCAGCGAAAUGCGAUAAGUAAUGUGAAUUGCAGAAUUCAGUGAAUCAUCGAAUCUUUGAACGCACCUUGCGCCCUCUGGUAUUCCGGAGGGCAUGCCUGUUUGAGUGUCAUGU
rnacentral:rRNA from 1 species